rnacentral:rRNA from 1 species
GAUGAGCGCUGGCGGCGUGCCUAAUACAUGCAAGUCGAGCGAACGGACGAGAAGCUUGCUUCUCUGAUGUUAGCGGCGGACGGGUGAGUAACACGUGGAUAACCUACCUAUAAGACUGGGAUAACUUCGGGAAACCGGAGCUAAUACCGGAUAAUAUUUUGAACCGCAUGGUUCAAAAGUGAAAGACGGUCUUGCUGUCACUUAUAGAUGGAUCCGCGCUGCAUUAGCUAGUUGGUAAGGUAACGGCUUACCAAGGCAACGAUGCAUAGCCGACCUGAGAGGGUGAUCGGCCACACUGGAACUGAGACACGGUCCAGACUCCUACGGGAGGCAGCAGUAGGGAAUCUUCCGCAAAGGGCGAAAGCCUGACGGAGCAACGCCGCGUGAGUGGUGAAGGUCUUCGGAUCGUAAAACUCUGUUAUUAGGGAAGAACAUAUGUGUAAGUAACUGUGCACAUCUUGACGGUACCUAAUCAGAAAGCCACGGCUAACUACGUG